rnacentral:tRNA from 1 species
GGUCUCGUAGUGUAGCGGUUAACACGCCUGCCUGUCACGCAGGAGAUCGCGGGUUCGCUUCCCGUCGAGACCGCCA